rnacentral:tRNA from 1 species
GCCCCCAUCGUCUAGCGGCCUAGGACGUCGCCCUUUCACGGCGGUAACACGGGUUCGAAUCCCGUUGGGGGUG